rnacentral:rRNA from 1 species
UACAGAGGUCUCAAGCGUUGUUCGGAUUCAUUGGGCGUAAAGGGUGUGUAGGUGGCGCCGUAAGUCGGGUGUGAAAUCUCGGGGCUUAACUCCGAAACUGCAUUCGAUACUGCGGUGCUUGAGGACUGGAGAGGAGACUGGAAUUCAUGGUGUAGCAGUGAAAUGCGUAGAGAUCAUGAGGAAGACCGGUGGCGAAGGCGGAUCUCUGGACAGUUCCUGACGCUGAGGCGCGAAGGCCAGGGGAGCAAACGGG